rnacentral:rRNA from 1 species
UCCUACGGGAGGCAGCAAUUAGGAAUCUUGCGCAAUGGGCGAAAGCCUGACGCAGCGACGCCGCGUGGAGGAUGAAGUCUCUCGGGAUGUAAACUCCUUUUGUUAGGGAAGAAGAACGUGACGGUACCUAACGAAUAAGCCCCGGCUAACUACGUGCCAGCAGCCGCGGUAAUACGUAGGGGGCGAGCGUUGUCCGAAGUUACUGGGCGUAAAGCGCGCGUAGGCGGGCUGUUUAGUCGGAAGUGAAAUGCCGGGGCUCAACCCCGGAAGUGCUUCCGAUACUGGCAGUCUUGAGGGCGGUAGGGAGAAGUGGAAUGACUGGUGUAGCGGUGAAAUGCGUAGAUAUCAGUCAGAACACCGGUGGCGAAGGCGGCUUCUUGGGCCGUUCCUGACGCUGAGGCGCGAAAGCCAGGGGAGCGAACGGGAUUAGAUACCCCGGUAGUC